CCAGCAGCCGCGGUAAUUCCAGCUCCAAUAGCGUAUAUUAAAGUUGUUGCAGUUAAAAAGCUCGUAGUUGGAUUUGUGUUCCCCCGCGGGCCCUCAGUUAAUUGCAGGGCCCACCGGGGGUGCAUCUUUGGGUGGAAUCCGCGUGGCAUUAGGUUGUCGUGCGGGGGAUGCCCAUCGUUUACUGUGAAAAAAUUAGAGUGUUCAAAGCAGGCUUAUGCCGUUGAAUAUAUUAGCAUGGAAUAAUAGGAUAGGACCUUGGUACUAUUUUGUUGGUUUGCGCACCGAGGUAAUGAUUAACAGGGACAGUUGGGGGUAUUCGUAUUCCAUUGUCAGAGGUGAAAUUC
rnacentral:rRNA from 1 species